rnacentral:rRNA from 1 species
UACGGAGGGGGUUAGCGUUGUUCGGAAUUACUGGGCGUAAAGCGCGCGUAGGCGGAUUGGUAAGUUGGAUGUGAAAUCCCGGGGCUCAACCCCGGAAUUGCCUUCAAAACUCCCGGUCUUGAGGUCGAGAGAGGUGAGUGGAAUUCCGAGUGUAGAGGUGAAAUUCGUAGAUAUUCGGAGGAACACCAGUGGCGAAGGCGGCUCACUGGCUCGAUACUGACGCUGAGGUGCGAAAGCGUGGGGAGCAAACAGG